AACCUCCGCAAUGUGAGAAAUCGCGACGGGGGGAUCCCAAGUGCCAUUCUUAACGGGAUGGCUUUUCAUUAGUGUAAAGAGCUUUUGGAAUAAGAGCUGGGCAAGACCGGUGCCAGCCGCCGCGGUAACACCGGCAGCUCUAGUGGUAACAAUUUUUAUUGGGCCCAAAGCGUCCGUAGCCGGUUUAAUAAGUCUCUGGUGAAAUCCUGCAGCUUAACUGUGGGAAUUGCUGGAGAUACUAUUAGACUUGAGACCGGGAGAGGUUAGAGGUACUCCCAGGGUAGAGGUGAAAUUCUGUAAUCCUGGGAGGACCGCCUGUUGCGAAGGCGUCUAACUGGAACGGUUCUGACGGUGAGGGACGAAAGUUAGGGGCGCGAACCGGAUUAGAUACCCGGGUAGUCCUAACUGUAAACGAUGCGGACUUGGUGUUGGGUGGCUUUGAGCUGCUUCAGUGCCGAAGGAAGCUGUUAAGUCCGCCGCCUGGGAAGUACGGUCGCAAGACUGAAACUUAAAGGAAUU
rnacentral:rRNA from 1 species